CGGCCGCGUCGACCCAGGACGUAAGGGCGAUGCUACAAUAGGCCGGUACAAAGGGACGUGCGAUGCCGCGAGGCGGAGCGAAUCCCAAAACGACCGGUCUCAGUUCGGAUUGGGGUCGUGCAACUCGACCCCACUGAAGUCGGAGUCGCUAGUAAUCGCAGAUCAGCAACGCUACGGUGAAUACGUUCCCGGGUCGACGCGGCCG
rnacentral:rRNA from 1 species